UCAAGUUAUUAAGGGUGCAGGGCGGAUGCCUUGGCACUAGGAGCCGAUGAAGGACGUGAUAAGCUGCGAUAAGCUUCGGGGAGUUGCACGUAAACUUUGAUCCGAAGAUUUCCAAAUGAGGAAACUCACUUAGAGUAAUGUCUAAGUAUCAUUAAGUGAAUACAUAGCUUAAUGAGGGGAACUCAGGGAACUGAAACAUCUAAGUACCUGAAGGAAGAGAAAGAAAUUCGAUUCCGUAAGUAGCGGCGAGCGAACGCGGAUUAGCCCAAACCAAUAAAGUUUUCUUUAUUGGGGUUGCGGACAUAUCAUAACGAAGAGGUAUCGUAAUUGAAGAGGUUUGGAAAGACCCACCACAGAAGGUAAUAGUCCUGUAUGUUAAACGAGAAGACUUUAGAUAUGAUCCAGAGUACCACGGGACACGUGAAACCCUGUGGGAAGCAGGAGGGACCACCCUCCAAGGCUAAAUACUACCUAGUGACCGAUAGCGUAUAGUACCGUGAGGGAAAGGUGAAAAGAACCCCGGGAGGGGAGUGAAAUAGAACCUGAAACCCUGCACUUACAAGCUGUGGAAGCACAUUUCUUGUGUGACCGCGUACUUUUUGUAGAACGGGCCAACGAGUUACGUUAAGUAGCAAGGUUAAGCACUUAAGGUGCGGAGCCGUAGCGAAAGCGAGUUUUAACUGAGCGUUCAGUUACUUGACGUAGACCCGAAACCGGGCGACCUACCCAUGAGCAGGAUGAAGCGAAAGUAAAAUUUCGUGGAGGUCCGAACCCACGAGCGUUGAAAAGCUCGGGGAUGACUUGUGGGUAGCGGUGAAAUUCCAAUCGAGCCCGGAGAUAGCUGGUUCUCCCCGAAAUAGCUUUAGGGCUAGCCUCAAGGUGAGAGAUACGGAGGUAGAGCACUGAAUGUCCUAGGGGGUAUUGCACCUACCGAAGACUAUCAAACUCCGAAUGCCGUCAUCUUAUACUUGGGAGUCAGACUGUGGGUGAUAAGAUUCAUAGUCGAAAGGGCAACAGCCCAGAUCGUCAGCUAAGGUCCCUAAAUGUAAGUUAAGUGGUAAAGGAUGUGGGAUUGCACAGACAACCAGGAUGUUGGCUUAGAAGCAGCCACUCAUUCAAAGAGUGCGUAAUAGCUCACUGGUCGAGUGAUCCUGCGCCGAAGAUUUCCGGGGCUAAAACUUACUACCGAAGCUACGGCAUCAGUAAUGAUGGGUAGGGGAGCUUCCCAUACGGGUUGAAGCAUGACCGUAAGGACAUGUGGACAGUAUGGGAGUGAGAAUGUUGGCAUGAGUAGCGAGAUGUGGGUGAGAAUCCCACAGGCUGUAAACCCAAGGUUUCCAGGGGAAGGUUCGUCCGCCCUGGGUUAGUCGGGACCUAAGCUGAGGCCGAAAGGCGUAGGUGAUGGACAACAGGUUGAUAUUCCUGUACUACCGAUAACCGUUUGAGAGAAGGGAUGACACAGUAGGAUAAGCUAAGCACACUGUUGGUUAUGUGUGCCCAAGCAUUGAGGCAGUCAAAGUAGGCAAAUCCGCUUUGAUAAUGCUGGGAUGUGAUGGGGAGCGAAAUUUAGUAGCGAAGUAGCUGAUUUCACACUGUCAAGAAAAGUCUCUAUCGAGGUUAAAGGUACCCGUACCGCAAACCGACACAGGUGGGUGAGGAGAGUAUCCUAAGGCCAGCGAGAGAACUGUUGUUAAGGAACUCGGCAAAAUGACCCCGUAACUUAGGGAUAAGGGGUGCCACCAUCAGGUGGCCGCAGAGAAUAGGCCCAAGCGACUGUUUACCAAAAACAUAGGUUUCUGCUAAGUCGCAAGACGAUGUAUAGGAGCUGACGCCUGCCCGGUGCUGGAAGGUUAAGGGGAUCUGUUAGAGCAAUCGAAGCAGUGAACUUAAGCCCCAGUAAACGGCGGCCGUAACUAUAACGGUCCUAAGGUAGCGAAAUUCCUUGUCGGGUAAGUUCCGACCCGCACGAAAGGCGUAACGAUUUGGGCACUGUCUCAACAACAGACUCGGUGAAAUUGUAAUUCCGGUGAAGAUGCCGGAUACCUGCGACAGGACGGAAAGACCCCAUGGAGCUUUACUGUAGCUUGACAUUGGGUCUUGGUACUACAUGUACAGGAUAGGUGGGAGGCUUUGAAACCAGGACGCCAGUUUUGGCGGAGCCAUCCUUGGGAUACCACCCUUGUAGUACUGGGACUCUAACCAUAGGCCAUGAAUCUGGUCUUGGGACACUGUCAGGUGGGCAGUUUGACUGGGGCGGUCGCCUCCCAAAAGGUAACGGAGGCGCUCAAAGGUUCUCUCAGUACGGUCGGAAAUCGUACGUAGAGUGUAAAGGCAAAAGAGAGCUUGAUUGCAAGACAUACAGGUCGAGCAAGGAUGAAAAUCGGACUUAGUGAUCCGGUGGUUCUGCGUGGAAGGGCCAUCGCUCAACGGAUAAAAGCUACCCUGGGGAUAACAGGCUUAUCUCCCCCAAGAGUCCACAUCGACGGGGAGGUUUGGCACCUCGAUGUCGGCUCAUCACAUCCUGGGGCUGUAGUAGGUCCCAAGGGUUGGGCUGUUCGCCCAUUAAAGUGGUACGCGAGCUGGGUUCAGAACGUCGUGAGACAGUUCGGUCCCUAUCCGUCGCAGGCGUAGGAAAUUUGAGAAGACCUGUCCUUAGUACGAGAGGACCGGGAUGGACGUACCUCUGGUGUACCAGUUGUCCUGCCAAGGGCAUGGCUGGGUAGCUAUGUACGGAAUGGAUAAGCGCUGAAAGCAUCUAAGCGCGAAGCCAACUUCAAGAUAAGAUUUCCCACCGCAAGGGUAAGACCCCAGAAAGACUAUCUGGUUGAUAGGUCGAAGGUGUAAGUGCAGCAAUGUAUUUAGCUUAUCGAUACUAAUAGGUCGAGGACUUGACCAA
rnacentral:rRNA from 1 species